CAGCCGCGGUAAUACAGAGGGGGCAAGCGUUGUUCGGAAUUACUGGGCGUAAAGGGCGCGUAGGCGGCCCGCUAAGUCGAACGUGAAAUCCCCGGGCUCAACCCGGGAACUGCGUCCGAUACUGGCGGGCUUGAAUCCGGGAGAGGGAUGUGGAAUUCCAGGUGUAGCGGUGAAAUGUGUAGAUAUCUGGAGGAACACCGGUGGCGAAGGCGGCAUCCUGGACCGGUAUUGACGCUGAUGCGCGAAAGCCAGGGGAGCAAACGGGAUUAGAUACCCCGGUAGUCCUGGCCCUAAACGAUGAAUGCUUGGUGUGGCGGGUAUCGAUCCCUGCCGUGCCGAAGCUAACGCAUUAA
rnacentral:rRNA from 1 species